UACGUAGGGUGCGAGCGUUAAUCGGAAUUACUGGGCGUAAAGCGUGCGCAGGCGGUUUUGUAAGUCAGAUGUGAAAUCCCCGGGCUUAACCUAGGAACUGCGUUUGAAACUACAAGGCUAGAGUGUGGCAGAGGGGGGUGGAAUUCCACGUGUAGCAGUGAAAUGCGUAGAGAUGUGGAGGAACACCGAUGGCGAAGGCAGCCCCCUGGGUUAACACUGACGCUCAGGCACGAAAGCGUGGGGAGCAAACAGG
rnacentral:rRNA from 1 species